rnacentral:sRNA from 1 species
AGAUGAGGUGAUAGAGUGUGGGAGGGGGUGACAGACUGUGGGGGACUAACAGAGUGAGGGACGGGGUAAUAAGUGGCAGAGUGAGGGAGGGAGUGACAGUUUGAGAAAGGGGUGACAGAUUGAGGGAGGAGCUGGCAAACUGUCACUCCCUCCCUCACUCUGCCACUUAUUACCCCGUCCCUCACUAUGUUACUCCCCCACAGUCUGUCACCCCCUCCCACACCCUGUCACCUCAUCUCUCACUGUGUCACCCCCUCCCUCACUCUAUUACCACCUUACCUCAAUCU